rnacentral:lncRNA from 1 species
AUCUUUGUUGCUCCUAGAUGUGAUACCUCUGACUUCUACAUGAAUCUACUCACCAUACCUAUAAUAUAUGCUAGACCAGGCCUUGUCUGAUAAAGGUAUGUUAUUAACCAAAUAAGUCUUCUGUACUAUGUUAGGUCGACAUCAUCUUCAUUUGAAUUUUUUGAUAGGUUCAGUCUUGGUUCAACAGGUGUUGAAGUUU